rnacentral:rRNA from 1 species
GACGAACGCUGGCGGCGUGCUUAACACAUGCAAGUCGAACGGAAAGGCCCUGCUUUUGUGGGGUGCUCGAGUGGCGAACGGGUGAGUAACACGUGAGUAACCUGCCCUUGACUUUGGGAUAACUUCAGGAAACUGGGGCUAAUACCGGAUAGGAGCUCCUGCUGCAUGGUGGGGGUUGGAAAGUUUCGGCGGUUGGGGAUGGACUCGCGGCUUAUCAGCUUGUUGGUGGGGUAGUGGCUUACCAAGGCUUUGACGGGUAGCCGGCCUGAGAGGGUGACCGGCCACAUUGGGACUGAGAUACCGCCCCGGCUCCUACGGGAGGCAGCAGUGGGGAAUUUUGCACCAUGGGCGGAAGCCUGAUGCAGCAACGCCGCGUGCGGGAUGACGGCCUUCCGGUUGUAAACCGCUUUCGCCUGUGACGAAGCGUGAGUGACGGUAAUGGGUAAAGAAGCACCGGCUAACUACGUG